GAUGAACGCUGGCGGCGUGCCUAAUACAUGCAAGUCGAGCGAACGGACGAUAAGCUUGCUUCUCUGAUGUUAGCCGCGGACGUGUGAAUAACACGUGGAUAACCUACCUAUAAGACUGGGAUAACUUCGGGAAACCGGAGCUAAUACCGGAUAAUAUUUUGAUCCGCAUGGUUCAAUAGUGAAAGACGGUCUUGCUGUCACUUAUAGCUGGAUCCGCGCUGCAUUAGCUAGUUGGUAAGGUAACGGCUUACCAAGGCAACGAUGCAUAGCCGACCUGAGAGGGUGAUGGGCCACACGGGAACGGAGACACGGUCCAGACUCCUACGGGAGGCAGCAGAAGGGAACCUUCGGCAGUGGGCGAAAGCCUGACGGAGCAAGGCGGCGUGAGUGAUAAGGGUCUCGGGUUCGUAAAACCCUGUUUAUGGGGAAAAACAGAUUUGGAAUGAAAUGUGCACACCGUGACGGUACCUAAUCAGAAAGCAACGGCUAACUACGUG
rnacentral:rRNA from 1 species